rnacentral:piRNA from 1 species
UGCAGUAGGCUCAGAGAGGUGAUGACGGCA